CAUCUGGCACUUUCUCAGUGGAAAUCACAGUUUAACAAAUUAAUCUCUUUCUCCGUGAUCUGAACACAUAAGCAGGCUGACCAAACACAGCUCAAGUCAUAUAUUCUGCUCUUAUCGCUGGAUUCUGGACCCGCUAUCUUAAGUAAACCUCCACAUCUUCUCCCUGUCCUAGACACACAUAGAACAGCCGGCUACACUAACAACUCAUCAGUGGAAUACAAAAAAGGCGAUAGUGGGAGAACAGGAACUUUAGAGUUUUCCUGAAAGUCACAGAGAUAGCCUUCAACAAAAAACAUUCUGUGGGCACUCUAACCCUCUUGGACAACUCCGAUAUGUUGUGUGAAACCUUUAAGAACGGAGGUCUGACACGGACUCAAAUCAAAGAAAAUCCCACAUAAAUCUUCAGACUUCAUUCUCAAGCACACCCAUCCCACACACUUGCAUUGUGUGAUCUUGGAAUGGACUAGAGUCCAUCUGUUUAGUGUCAUUCACACACAUGCCUGAUCAAUCUCAGACUGAGUUCCUGAUAUAUGGACUAAACCUCACAUUAAGAUAACACGGGGAAGUAUGCAUUUUUAUCUCUUUGUGUGUGUUCAUGCAAUAAAUGUGGAGGAGAAUAUACUUACUGUAGAACACAUGAUGAUGUGAUGUAUCAGAGAUUAAUGGUACCUUGAAACAUAUUGUAGUGUUUGAUUAACUCAGUCAUGUGGUAUGUACUUUAUAAUUGUAUUGGUAUACCAUGUUAUUACAAUUUUCUAAAAACAUGGGGAUUGAACGAAUAAUAUAAUUACAAGCAUAUAACAAUAAUAUAUAUGCUUACAAAAAAGUUUUCAAAAAAUGAAAACUUGUAUCUCUUUCAUCUCUGGAACACAAAAAUAUUGGUGACCAAAAUACAUUGCCCCCUUACUGACUUCCAUUUCAUAGAGACAGAACUGAGACAUUUCUCAAAAUAUAUACUUUGUCUUGCAAAGGAAAGAUAAAUAUACCGUUUUAAACUACAUGAAGGUGAAUAAAUUAUGAUAACAUU